rnacentral:rRNA from 1 species
AACGAACGCUGGCGGCAUGCCUAACACAUGCAAGUCGAACGAGACCUUCGGGUCUAGUGGCGCACGGGUGCGUAACGCGUGGGAACCUGCCCUUAGGUUCGGAAUAACUCCCCGAAAGGGGUGCUAAUACCGGAUAAUGUCUGCGGACCAAAGAUUUAUCGCCUUUGUAUGGGCCCGCGUUGGAUUAGCUAGUUGGUAGGGUAAAAGCCUACCAAGGCGACGAUCCAUAGCUGGUCUGAGAGGAUGAUCAGCCACACUGGGACUGAGACACGGCCCAGACUCCUACGGGAGGCAGCAGUGGGGAAUAUUGGACAAUGGGCGAAAGCCUGAUCCAGCAAUGCCGCGUGAGUGAUGAAGGCCUUAGGGUUGUAAAGCUCGUUUACCCGGGAUGAUAAUGACAGUACCGGGAGAAUAAGCUCCGGCUAACUCCGUG